GACGAAGGAUGCAAGCGUUUAUCCGGAUUCAUUGGGUUUAAAGGGAGCGUAGGUGGCCUUAUAAGUCAGUGGUGAAAUCUCUGGGCUUAACCCAGAAAUUGCCAUUGAUACUGUAGGGCUUGAGUACAGUUGCUGUGGGCGGAAUAUGACAUGUAGUGGUGAAAUACAUAGAGAUGUCAUAGAACACCGAUUGCGAAGGCAGCUCACAAAACUGUAACUGACACUGAGGCUCGAAAGUGUGGGGAUCAAACAGG
rnacentral:rRNA from 1 species